rnacentral:rRNA from 1 species
UACAGAGGGUGCGAGCGUUAAUCGGAAUUACUGGGCGUAAAGCGCACGUAGGCGGCGACGUAAGUCGGGUGUGAAAGCCCCGGGCUCAACCUGGGAAUUGCAUUCGAGACUGCAUUGCUGGAGUACGGAAGAGGAGGGCGGAAUUCCCGGUGUAGCGGUGAAAUGCGUAGAUAUCGGGAGGAACAUCAGUGGCGAAGGCGGCCCUCUGGUCCAGUACUGACAAUCAAGUGCGAAAGCGUGGGGAGCAUACAGG